AACCUCACAGGAAACAUGAAGAAAUAUCGUAGCACUGCAUGAAGCAGGCCACAAGGUUUGCUAUAUCGCAAAAGAGCUUAAUAUCCACCGCAACACCUUAACGUGGUGGUUAAGGCGGGAAAGCGACAGUGGUGCCACGAAUGAUUUGGCACCGACUGGUCGGCCACGCUGCACUAAUCCCGAUGAGGUCAAGAUGAGUUUUGCAAGCGACAAUUAUCCUGCCAUGGCAAUACAAUCAGCCGUGCUCCAACAACUACUGCCUGCAUACAAGCUACCCUACGACUACGGUGCAGCACUCAAACGAUCCGCUGUAGGAUUCGCAAACCAGCCAGUAAGCCUGAACUGUCUGAGCAAAACAUGGAACAAAGGAUGGCAUAUGCACUGGAGUAUUCUGACAAGCCUGCUGGGUUCUGGGAGCGUGUCGUCUUUUGCGAUGAAAAGACAUUCUGUUCGGAUGGGAUUUCGAAACCACUAUGUUUGGAGGCCACUGAACACAGCAGAUACGAGGCAGAGCAUGUAGUGGAAACAAGACGCAGCGGGCAUGUCACUGCUGGACUGUUCGGAUGGAAACUCAAACAUAUACCAACCUUUCUUUAUUGUCCCACAUGUCAAAAGCAUGCCCAACACCAAAAAAAAUAUGUAACAGCAGAGCAGGGAAACUAAAACAUAUACCAACCUUUAUUAUUGUGGAGUUAGAACACUUCAAGAAACAGAACACACUAACCUUUAUUAUUGUGGAGGUAGAACACUUCAAGAAACAGAACACACUAAAUAAGUGAUGGAGGUUCUUCUAGUGUGCCCAUCACCUUGGGGGAAUACCAUCAGAGGGAGAAAUGAAGUUGAGCAGGUUAGUUGUUUCUACCCCCUUUCCAAUAAAAAAAAAAAUAAUAAUGGAUUGCAUAAAAACUAAUGUAAAAUCUUUAAAAGUUUUGUUUCUUCCAAUUUUCUUUUUCCCUGGUUCUGUUUUAACAUUUCAAUAGAAAAAAAAAUUGUAACCUUA